AAAGGCUCUUGGAGAUGUAUUUUAUCCAGCACCUCCUUUUAACUUAGAUUUAUUGCAUUCCAGACCCUACCAUAAGCCUCAUUUCUUUCUUCCAGAUCCUUCUGAACAUUGUCAAUAACAUGAGUCAUAUGCUAUCUUGCUGUGAUAUUUCCCCAUUGUUACAUACAAAUGCACAAAUCAUUUUUAAAUUUUUUUUUCUUAAAGGGAAGUCCUACUGUCUCUUCGGUGCAUUGCAAAACAAACAAGCAAGGAAACAAACAAGCAAACAAAACAAACUACUUCCAAAGGACAGAGAAAGGGAACACUGGGUUUUCAGGCGUGUAAGUCCUGUAACCAUCACAUAGUUCUCUGUGUUUUUCAUUUUGGUUUGAAGAAUGCUACAAGGCCCACUGUCAAGUAAGAAUUAACAUCUUUUCUCUCUCCUUCUCUUUGGCAGCUUUGGGCAGGAAAAUAACAACCACUAUAUACAGACAGGAUACAUUUAAGGGUUAUUACCUGUAGACUCUUUAUAUAUUCAGGUGUAAAUUAUCUUCCCCUUUCCAUUUAUUACAUCCUUAACCCAGAGAAGGAAUUAUCUGCAUGGAGAUUGCAACAGCAUCUGCUUCCAUUCGUGCAAAUGCCACAGUUACAAGCAGGAGCAACUGAAACAAGGAUUUGAAAUUAAAUAAAAUAAGCUAAUCUGUAUUUUUAGCUCCCUUUAGAAGGCUGAGACCAGAGGAAAGGAUUGGAAAUAUAUCUACCAAUAUGCCUUCAAGGAAAAAUAACAGAAAACCCAACUCAAAUUGGCUUAAACAAGAAAGAAACUUUUUUUGACCUGCUUAACUGAAAAGUCUAAAGGAUCAAGCGAACUUCAGGAAAUGGCAGGUGGAGGAGCUGCUUCUGCCAGCUGGAUCUGCAAUUCGGACAGCACGAAGAGCAUGGAAACGGGGCCAUUACCCAGUUUGCUAAAUUAAAGAAGGCAACCAGUCUCGGCAGGCCAUCAGCUCCACACAGUCACUGCCCUACUGUACAUGCCAACGACCCAUCUGAGGGAUCAGCUUCCCUUUGCUCCCCAAACGAGAGCCUCUGCUCUUGGGCACCUCAGAGAUGCGUGUGUGUGUGUGUGUGUGUGUGUGUGUGUGUGUGUGUGCGCGUGUGUGUGCAUGCAGACUAUUUGGAAAUUCGCUUUUAGAUGGAUUAAUGCUCGGUAAAGCUCUCAUGUUUCUCCAAAGUAUAUCCAGUGAGUAACAGUAGUAUUUUCAAUCAAUAGUAUUGCUUGCUAAAAUAACAGAUCUACAAUAAAGCCUUCUA
rnacentral:lncRNA from 1 species